UGUUCAACGGGCCGCGGUAUCCUAACCGUGCGAAGGUAGCGUAAUCACUUGUUCUUUAAUUGAGGAGACUAGUAUGAAUGGCCCCACGAGGACUAAACUGUCUCCUUUUUCUAAUCAAUGAAACUGAUCUCCUCGUGAAGAAGCGAGGAUAGACAUAUAAGACGAGAAGACCCUAUGGAGCUUUAAACAAUAGAGAUACUUGCUAAACCUAAACUGUCUUUCUGAAAACUAAACAAAUUAGAGCAUUUUAUCUUUCUAGUUUUAGGUUGGGGUGACCACGGAGAAGAGAAAAACCUCCACGUUGUAAGAAGCCUUCCAUCUUCUAAACCAAAAGCUACAGCUUAAAGCAUCAACACAUUGACUUUCAUUGACCCAAUAAUUUGAUCAACGAACCAAGUUACCCUAGGGAUAACAGCGCAAUCUACUUUGAGAGCUCAUAUCGACAAGUACCCCNANGACCUCGAUGUUGGAUCAGGNUAUCCUAGUGGUGCAGNNGCNC
rnacentral:rRNA from 1 species